rnacentral:other from 1 species
UUCCCUGCGUGGUACGUGCAGAUUGGAAUUUUAGAACCAACAAAUAUAAAACGGGAGCCCGUCUCUGAAUAUGGCGUGUAAGCUUGCAUUUAUGUAAGAAACCCAGGAGUAUUUAGGAAGGCACCCACCUGUGAAGAGCAGGUCCUUAAAAUUUCAUUCAUCUUACGGCUAAGGCGGGGGAU